CAACACGAAAUGUGCUGUACAUACACACAUCGCUACUGACUGAUUUGAAUGUGUGGUUUAAUACACAUCACCACUGUUUCAUGCAGUGCAAUUUAUAGAAAAUAAGUAGCACGCCCUCAGUUUUCAGUUUGCGUACAAAUCGUAUUCCAGCUGUUAUAGCGGGCGCUGUUUACAGACCCGGAAGUAAGUUGGUGCUUUGUUUUGUAAACAAUACUGCCCAAUCACAAGGCUUAGAUUUCGAAAAAAAAAACAAAGUUUCGAUGAUGUCAUCAUCCGGGGACUUUAAACUUCACAAUAGCCUAACCAUGCUUGUCUUUCCAUUUUGAAAAGCGUAGAAAAUAAUAUGAGAAGUUUUGUACGAUCAUCAACAUUCAAAAUCUGUAGUGCCAGCGAUUGGACAGUCGUUGAACCAAACAUCAGGUGAAAACAACAUUGAAUUAGAAACACUUGGUAGGCAUAAUAAUAAUGUACACAUUAUAUUAGGUUGAUCGUGUGUAGAGUCGUUGCGGCCCUGCAUUAACCAAUGAAAACUGUCAAUAUGCACUAUGCUAAAAUUUAAAGUUACCCAACCAGUUAAAAAAAUGUAUCACAGUGUUCUCCCGAAGCCGUUUUAGCCAUCAAUUUUUUCCAGUAAAAUAACAGGCCAACCAGUAAAAAUUUAGAGUUUUGUAAAAUUUAGAAAAAAAUACUGAUAGGCCUAGGUAGUCGAUACUGGCCCUCUUUCAAUGAAUUAACAUCAUUCCAAUAUAUGCCAACAGUAGGUUAUGAAUAUAUGUGGUGCUCUUCAAGUCAUUAUCAAAAAAGUUAUUUUAAGAAAGUCACUCAAAAGGGGUAACACCUCACACUGUGUGCAUUGCUGAAUUUUUACGGACAAAUUUACCAGUAAAAAUUUGUCAAUUGGGAGAAUACUGUAUCACAAUGUUAACACACAAAAUGCCAUCACUGUUUGCUAAAAUAGCAUAUACGAUUUAUAUCAACAAAUAUAUCAAUCAACAUUCAAAUUGUUUCAGGUUCACUUCAUUGGUGACUGACACUGUAGCAUUGGACACUUGGUUUAUUCUUCAGCGAUUGCUGUAAAAAACAAAGAAGUAAUGGUAAUGGUUGGAGACUUAUAUAGCACAUAAUACACGGUCUCUAUGCGCUUAACAGAAAAACAGAAAAUACAAUCUAUCCUAGAGUGUAACCUAAGCAAACCAAGCUGAAAAAACAACCGAAACAGAUUAACGCAUUCAAAUUAAAUUUGUAUUGAUGUCAACCUAUACAUCCUGAAGUAGAUGACCAUUAGAAAGCUGUUCCCAUGUGACAUUACAGUCUGUUAUCAAGGCAAGGGCCUUAUCAACCGUCAUUUGAGAACUCUCUAUACCAGCUGCAAUCAGAUGUUCAGAUGAAGCAUUCCGAAGCUGAUUGAUUAUAUUUUGUUUACCAUCAUCAUUAUUGACUUGACGGGCAAGAUCUUCAACCUUGCGGUUUCGCUUCAUUAGUGUUUUCUUGGAGACUUCUGAACUCUUAUAUGUGGUGUUGGUUAUAAGAGUAACCUUU